UACGGAGGGUGCAAACGUUGCUCGGAAUCAUUGGGCGUAAAGCGCUCGUAGGCGGCUUGAUAAAUUGGAUGUGAAAGCCCUGGGCUCAACCCAGGAUGUGCAUUGAAAACUGUCUGGCUUGAAUCUCGGAGGGGGUCAGGGAAUUCCCGGUGUAGAGGUGAAAUUCGUAGAUACCGGGAGGAACACCAGUGGCGAAGGCGCUGACCUGGACGAUGAUUGACGCUGAGGCGCGAAAGCGUGGGGAGCAAACAGG
rnacentral:rRNA from 1 species